AUAGGCUGCGUCCGAAAUCGCGUACUUCCAUACUAAACAGUAUGCAAAAGCAGUAUGCGAGAUGGGGUAGUGUGUCCGAAUGCGCAGUAGGCGAGUUUGAGGACGCGAAAAGUUCCCGGAUGACGUACUGCACCGGGAGACAUUUUUAAGUAUACAAGCCCAGCACACUCCACCCGCUAAUAUUUCCCACAAUCCACCGGGAGCCGCGCUGAGCUGAGAGACCCGGCAGUGAGCGGGGUAGCGGCAGAGGGGAGGAGAGAGGCACAGAGAGAGAAGUUUAUAAGAUUCAACUAUCCUUCCUACUGGAGAGGAUGAAGAUGAAGAGAGGGAGAAAAAUGAACAAUAACGAAUAAAAAAAUAAAUAAAAUCACUUAAAAGACUUGUCA